UACGGGGGGGGGCAAGCGUUGUUCGGAAUUACUGGGCGUAAAGGGCUCGUAGGCGGCCAACUAAGUCAGACGUGAAAUCCCUCGGCUUAACCGGGGAACUGCGUCUGAUACUGGAUGGCUUGAGUUCGGGAGAGGGAUGCGGAACUCCAGGUGUAGCGGUGAAAUGCGUAGAUAUCUGGAGGAACACCGGUGGCGAAGGCGGCAUCCUGGACCGACACUGACGCUGAGGAGCGAAAGCCAGGGGAGCAAACGGG
rnacentral:rRNA from 1 species